rnacentral:rRNA from 1 species
GAGCACGUAGGUGGGUUUGUAAGUCAGAUGUGAAAGCCUUCUGUUCAACGGAAGAAUUGCAUCUGAAACUGCGAGUCUUGAGUGUAGGAGGGGAGAAUGGAACUUCUGGUGGAGCGGUGAAAUGCGUAGAUAUCAGAAGGAACUCCGGCGGCGAAAGCGAUUCUCUGGCCUAUUACUGACACUCAGUGUGCGAAAGCUAGGAGAGCAAACGGGAUUAGAUACCCCGGUAGUCCUAGCCGUAAACGAUGGGCACUAAGUAGAGGGGUUUU